GAAAUGAGCACAGCCCAGGCUCCAGGGCCCACAGCAAAGCUGGGGAGACGAGAGACCAUCCACAUGCACAGGGAUGAGGCUGCUCCAGGUGUGGGGGCUCCGUCUCCCUGGUAGACAGCCUCCCUUACAGCCAGCUAUGGCCAUGUGAAUAAGUUCUGCCACCAGUGGAUAAGAAGAGGUGUCGUUCAAAGGCAGGAGGUUGCCUCCUUUUUGCCCCUUCUUCCUAUCUGCUGGCUGGAGUAUGCAUGUGAUUGCUGGAGCUGGAGCAGCCAUCUUGGAUCACAAGGCAGACGCCACAUGAUAAGGAUAACCAAGCAACAAGAAGGAAGCGAUCUGGGUUCUGAUGUUUGUGGAGCUUCCACAUCAGUCCUGGACUAGAUACUUCCAAAUGUUGUUUACUUGGGAGAAAAAUAAACUUCUGUAUUGUUUGA